CCGCAUUAUUCCGAAGCGUCCUGUCAUUUAGCAUCAGGUAACAAUUUGCUAUUUAAUUUAGUUUCUUUAUAAUUGUUUAUUGUACCUGGGUUAUAAAAGAGGGUACAUUCAGUAAAGGGAGUUUAGUUUGGUAAAGUUUUCUGAUCGGUAUCGGUGUGAGAAGAAAAGUUACGAGCGUCGACAGGUUCACAAAGAAAGCUAACCUAAAACAGUAUUGGCGGCAGUUUGUUCAUAAUCGGUAUCGGUUAUUCGCGAAUUUACCAUGAGUUCACGCGUUUAUGUUGGUGGUAUCCCGUACGAGACCCGUGAAAGAGACUUGGAAGGCUUUUUCCGAGGAUUUGGACGUAUCCGAGAUGUUUUAAUAAAGAACGGUGCUUCCAGAUAUGGUUUUGUGGAAUUUGACGACUACAGAGAUGCCGAAGACGCCGUUUAUGAGCUUCAUGGAAAAAAAUUGUUGGGCAUGAGAGUCAGUGUAGAAAUGGCUCGUGGUAGACCUCGUGGUCGUGACCAGGAAUGGUUUUCUAGCAGAGACCAUCGGCCUAGACAGGGGCCCCCUGUUAGAACUCAGUACAGAAUCUUUGUGGAGAAUUUGUCAUCAGGAGUGUCUUGGCAAGACUUGAAAGACUACCUGAGACCAGCAGGCGAGGUUACAUUUGCAGAUGCCCACAAGAAAUACAAAAACGAGGGUAUAGUAGAGUUUGCCUCUUACGACGAUAUGAAGAAUGCUAUUCGAAAGUUCGAUGAUACUGUUCUGAACGGCAGAAGGAUUCGUUUGGUUGAAGAUAAGACUACCAGGAGGUCAAGAUCAAGAAGCCGCAGUUCUAGCGCCGAUAGCAGAAGAAGAGACAGGUCUAGGUCAAAAUCUGCUUCUCCAAAGAAGGAGAAGAAGUCCCAUUCUAGGUCUCGCGACCGUUCCCGAUCCCGUCGUUCCAACGAGUCCCGCCACGAGUCAAAGGACAGGUCCAGGGAGAGGUCCAUCUCCAAAAGGAAGUCUGUCAAGAGGUCGAGGAGCGUAAGUGCAUCUCCCGAAAAGAGGUUCAAGGACAAGUCUGCUUCCCAUUCCCGCUCAAGGUCCCGAUCGAAACGCGAGUCCCGAUCCAAGUCCAGAGACCGUUCCCGCUCCAAGAGCCCCGAAGACAAGAAAGCUUCGAGGAGCCGAAGCCGAUCCCGCUCUUAAGCCGACCGAACAUAAAAAAUCAGACAGUAGUAGUUUGUAUCCACUUUCAAGGUUUCUCACACAUUUUGUGUCUUGAUCGAUUACUCUUUCGUUUAUUUUUUUGCUUUCCUCGACACAUAUCCUGACCAGAAUCCUACUUUCGUCGUUUUAAGAACAUUCUAGUUUGUUUAGUUCACUUAGAUUAGAAUUUUACGUUCGGUUUCUAUGCUUGUAGUUUAUUUCGCUUGAUUUUCUUACUAUGAAUAAUAUGAAUGCUUUUCAUACAUCCUCGUAAGAGAUAACGGCUGAUUCUUAGGUCCAGAUAUUGACUUCUGAAACUGAUUUCAGUUAUAUUAUGUUAUAUCUUUGUGCAUGUCUGUUUGAGUUAAUUGUAUAUUUUGACUUAUUUAGGUUUUAGUGCUGCAAUUUUUAAAAUUGUGAAACUGCUUUUAAUAACUUGUAUUUUCUCUAUCUUAAUAUUUUAAUACAAUUUUUUCUUUUUGUCUUCUAUCUCUGUAGUUCACGACAUGAUCUUUGCGUUUUGCAAUAUUAAAAAAUGCCCUAACACUAAAUCUUUUCUACAUAAAUGUAACGUAAAACGAGAUAUCUGAAACUAAAUUUAUUGGGAAAUGGGGUUGAUAUCGCUGUGACAAAACAGCAUUUGGCAAUUUUUUGCUGGUUCAAUCAAAUUGAAAAUUAUGUUUGUGUUGUUUAAAGAAAUUAACUUAACAGUUGGUUAAAUGUCAUCUAAAAUAUAUUUUAAUUCAGUUUUUUUCAAGGCUUCUUAAGAUACUUAUUGCCAAUUCGAAUUUAACUGAAGCACUAUUUUUUUUAAAUAAAGAGAAUCAUUUUAAUUAUUUUUAGAACUUUAGUGUAAAAUCAGGAAAUCUUUAAAAAUAUCUAUAUUUGAAUCUGAAUAAUGAAUAUGUGUGGCAAGACUAACUUUUCUUAUCGCUUUGAUGAGUCAUAGACAAGCAGUUUAUGUUAAAACAAUUCCAUAGUUAUAGUGUAUUUUUAAAUUAUAUAAGGAACUAAUCACAUAAUCUAUAUUUUCUCGAUAUAGUAGUUUAGAGGGGCCAACCGCAAUGAUGGUCAGCCAUAAAGCGUGUAUCCAUUCGGGGGCCCCCCAGAUUUUAGUCCUGACCUGUAUAAUGGAGUCAGCCCAUUUAGCCCAAAAACAAAAUGCGACAGGCCAAAAGCUAUCUUAAGCCAGUCGUGCCGUACAAAUGCCAUUCAAAUGCCAUACAGAUUGUAAGACAAUAAUCGCAGUUUUACUGUAAAGCGAGAGUCGCAAAAAAACAGAUAACAGAUACCGAAAACAGAUUUUUACCAGAUAAAUGCCAAUAUACAGCCAGAUACCAUGUGAAACUUGUACAGAUAUCCGUAACAGCCUCAGUUCCUCAACUGUACAGCCAUACAGACGAGCCUGUAGUGACCGAUAUAAUGCCUCAACUGUACAGCUUGACAGCACAAGUAUUUGUGACAAAUGGGUUUAUAUUGGUAAUAUUUAUUUUUAUAAAUGGGUGGUAAAGGGAUUUUUUUCUUAUUUGGGAUUUGUUUUCAUUUU